GGCCAAAUUCCCUAGCCCAUAAUUCCUACGCCCAUACUCCUAACCCAAUCCCUACCCCUAUAUAAAAGACCUACACCCUAAAAAGAAUGGCAGCCUUUUAGGGAGGAACUUCCAUUUGUCAAAGAAACAAAAGUUUGAUCCUUCAAUAUCUUUCAUUAAACAUCGCACAAAAACGACCAUUGACCCCCCAAUUCCAAAAACAUGCCUGCAAUUCCAUUCUUCAAUCACAUAAAUCCCACCCCAAUGUCGUAUAACUCCCCAACUAAAGUUGAAGUCUAGUAUGUCGUCUGAAGUCAUGAAAUUCCAGUCGAGGGCCGUCGGUUUUUAAUGUUGUUGUUAGACGAUUCCAUUUUCUUGUAAGCAAUUUUGCUGUAAGACUUCUUAAGUGGAAAAUCAAUAAAGAACUGUUUAGCCGAGCUCCCUCCUUCAUCUUUGUCUUUAUUUGACCGCUUCAACUUCUUGAUUCAGUCAUUAGCUAAGAGCAGGGUCUAGCUGAAUGUUUUUUGACACUUUAGAGGCUUGUGCAAUCGAUGCCUAGCCAAAUUUGAGUAGACACUUUCCUUUCAUUCACUGUGUGGAAAGCCCAUUCUACCAUAAGAAUUAUACCCAGUGAGAAUCAUGUUCGAGAAAUUAAAUUUGAAGGCAAAGUGUGUCGGCAGUGGGCGAGGGAAAUUGACAUGACAUCAAAAAGUAUCAUUGCCGACUUGAACAAAGGUGACAAACUGAAUGAUGAAAACUACGAUAUUUGGAGUCGUAAGAUGUGGUAUGUACUCAAAGAGCAAGAUGCUCUUGAAAGUAUUAACCAUGUUAUGAGUCACGCAGGGGAGGGUAACAUUGCCCAACAUAGGAGGGAUCUGGAAACUUACAAUGUUUAGAAAAAAAAAGAUUCCACUGCACGUGGAAUUAUUGUACGUUCAGUUGUUGAUGAUCUCAUCCAUGAAUGUGAGCAAUAUCCUACUUCUCAAGCCAUGUGGGCACAUUUAAGAGAGACAUAUGGGGGUACGACUGUGACUCGCCUUCGACAACUAACAAUCAAGUUUGACACGUACAAAAAAUGUCAUGAUCACGAUUUUAAGCAACAUCUAAGGGUGAUGUCAAAUAUGAUUGCUCAACUCAAAAGCGCUGGCCAUGUUUUCUCUGAUGAGCAGCAGGUUCAGGCAGUGAUUCGGUCUUUCCAAUAAUUGGGAACAUUUGAAGGUUAAUUUGAUCCACAAUGAUAGCAUCAAAACUUUUGCUGAAGUUGCCCGUCAUGUGGAGCUUGAAGACGAGCGUCUUGGUGAUGCUAAAGCUGUAUCUAAUGCCUUUGUGGCAUAAUCAAGUGGUACAAAGAAAUUAAGCUUCAAGCGCAAGAGAAACUGGAAAAAUGACAGAAAGGGUAAGGAGACCGAAGAAGGACCCUCCACGAAAAGAAACAAGCCAAAUUCCAAGAAAGGAAAAUGGUUCUACAAGAAGAAAGACAAGAGCAAGAUGAAGUGUUAUAAUUGCCAAGUCCCAGGGCAUUUUUCUCGUGAGUGCACUAAGCUGAAAAAGACUUAGGGGCCACCAACCAUGUGAGCCGCGAUAGAGAAGCAUUUAUAGAGAUUCGUCGAGUUCCACCUGGAUCAAAGCAUGUAUAUGUGGAAAACAAUGCAAAGCUUGAAAUCAAAGGGAUAUGCACUUGCAGAAUGGACAUGCGUGGUGGCCAAUCUUUGAUAUUGCAUGACGUCAUAUAUGUUCUAGAGAUUCAACGAGACUUAGAAUAUGUGUCUGUUCUUCUAGAUUUAGAUUUCAAUUUGAACUUUAGUCGCAGUGGUCUUAGAAUUACUCAAGACAAUGUUUUUAUGGUUUUGGACAUCGUUAUAAUGGUUUUAUUGUGUUAGAUUG